rnacentral:rRNA from 1 species
GCUUGUCUCAAAGAUUAAGCCAUGCAUGUUCAAGUAUAGCAAGUGUACAGUGAAACUGCGAAUGGCUCAUUAAAUCAGUUAUAAUUUAUUUGAUAGUGAAAUUGUACAUGGAUAACCGUGGUAAUUCUAGAGCUAAUACAUGCUGUUAAGCCUGACUUCUUGAAGGGCUGUAUUUAUUAGAUAACAGACCAAUAUUCCUCGUGUCUAUUGUGGUGACUCAUAGUAACUGAUCGGAUCGCACGGGCUUGCCCGCGACAAACCAUUCAAGUUUCUGCCCCAUCAGCUUUCGAUGGUAGUGUAUUGGACUACCAUGGCUUUUACGGGUAACGGAGGAUUAGGGUUCGAUUCCGGAGAGGGAGCCUGAGAAACGGCUACCACAUCUAAGGAAGGCAGCAGG